rnacentral:rRNA from 1 species
CACGUAGGGGCCAAGCGUUGUCCGGAUUUAUUGGGCGUAAAGAGCUCGUAGGCGGCUCGGUAAGUCGGGUGUGAAACCUCCAGGCUCAACCUGGAGACGCCACCUGAUACUGCUGUGGCUAGAGUCCGGUAGGGGAGCGUGGAAUUCCUGGUGUAGCGGUGAAAUGCGUAGAUAUCAGGAGGAACACUGGCGGUGUAGACGGCUUGCUAGACCAUAACUGACGCUGAGGCACGAAAGCGUGGGUAGCAAACAGG